GCACGCACAUGCCAGUGACGUAUCAACUUCAUGUCGGGUAAUAGUAUUGUAGGAAAAGCGCGAGAGUCCUGAAUCUUUUGAUGAUACUAUAAAACGUGUGAUGCCGGAUCACAUGACUUGAUGAUCAUUGAUCUGAAUCGAAUUGGAAAUUACUUCCAUAUUAUUGUCGAAAGGAAUAAUCGCGCGAACGACAUUAAUCAAUUGCGUGACACUUAUACAAUCGAAUAGAAAGAUGUAUCAACGCAGUGAAUCCCCUUACAUACAUAUAGCUAAUAAAAAAGUUCUAUUUAAUAAAAGAUGAAGUGGAGAAUAUUGGCAGAGUGAAAACAACGUUUUGGGUUUUGUCCUCUUCUUUUCCUUUAUAUUUUCGACACUAAUAUCGUACAGACAACCAACCAGCUUACAGAGACGGGAUAUAGAUAUGUGAAGCUAUCCACUUCGUAAUAUCAACAGGCUUUAAAAGAUAAAGGAGCGAGAAAAUUAAAAUGUUGCUACAUCGUCGCGUGGUUCACCGUCGACUGGGAGCUUGUCCGUGAACCGCGAGAGGCUGUAGGAGAGAAUCUCGUUACGUUUCGCGUCCUCGAUGCGACAGAA